UACGUAGGGUGCGAGCGUUGUCCGGAAUUAUUGGGCGUAAAGGGCUCGUAGGCGGUUUGUCGCGUCGGGUGUGAAAACACCGGGCUUAACUCGGUGCUUGCUUUCGAUACGGGCAGACUGGAGGUAUGCAGGGGAGAACGGAAUUCCUGGUGUAGCGGUGAAAUGCGCAGAUAUCAGGAGGAACACCGGUGGCGAAGGCGGUUCUCUGGGCAUUACCUGACGCUGAGGAGCGAAAGUGUGGGGAGCGAACAGG
rnacentral:rRNA from 1 species